UAGGUCGGUCCAAAAGUAAUUGCGGUUUUUGCCAUUACUUUCACUGACAAAAAAUGCAAUGACUUUUGCACCAACUUAAUAC
rnacentral:miRNA from 1 species